GGGAUUGCCUUAGUAACGGCGAGUGAAGCGGCAACAGCUCAAAUUUGAAAUCUGGCGCCUUGGUGCCCGAGUUGUAAUUUGUAGAGGAUGUUUCGGGUGCGGCACCGAUCUAAGUUCCUUGGAACAGGGCGUCAUAGAGGGUGAGAAUCCCGUAUGUGACCGGUCGCCUAUCCCAUGUGAAACUCCUUCGACGAGUCGAGUUGUUUGGGAAUGCAGCUCAAAAUGGGUGGUAUAUUUCAUCUAAAGCUAAAUACUGGCCAGAGACCGAUAGCGCACAAGUAGAGUGAUCGAAAGAUGAAAAGCACUUUGGAAAGAGAGUUAAAAAGUACGUGAAAUUGUUGAAAGGGAAGCGCUUGCAACCAGACUCGCUCGGGGGUGAUCAGCCGUCCUUCUGGGCGGUGCACUCUCCCUCGAUCGGGCCAGCAUCGGUUCGGGCGGCCGGAUAAAGGCUUCGGGAACGUAGCUCCUCUCGGGGAGUGUUAUAGCCCGGGGUGUAAUGCGGCCAGCCUGGACCGAGGACCGCGCUUUUGCUAGGAUGCUGGCGUAAUGGUUGCCAGCGACCCGUCUUGAAACACGGACCAAGGAGUCGACCAACCGUGCGAGUGUUUGGGUGUCAAACCCGUGCGCGUAAUGAAAGUGAACGGAGGUGAGAACCCCUUACGGGGCGCAUCAUCGACCGAUCCUGAUGUCUUCGGAUGGAUUUGAGUAAGAGCACAGCUGGUCGGACCCGAAAGAUGGUGAUCUAUACGUGAAUAGGGUGAAGCCAGAGGAAACUCUGGUGGAGGCUCGCAGCGGUUCUGACGUGCAAAUCGAUCGUCAAAUUUGCGUAUAGGGGCGAAAGACUAAUCGAACCAUUGAAUUUACAAGUUGGAAUUCAAGUUGCUAGGUGGUUAAUUGCAGCCUUCGUGCUGCCAGUUCCCCGGGGUUUACUCCCCGGGGGGCGACAUCGCUGUCUGCGUGGAUCCCUCUUCUUCUUCCCACCGGGGGGAGGUUGCGGGAAACACGGCGCGGUUCAAUCCGUUCACAGACCAAGCGGCGAUGGCCCGGGGGUAUUCUCCCCGGGUUGAGAUAUGGCCGGCCCUCCCCCUAGCGGGG
rnacentral:rRNA from 1 species